ACUUAUAUAAUUUAAUAAAAAUAUUAAUUUGUGGGAUUAAAAAUAUGAUUUAUCAUUUUAAGUA
rnacentral:tRNA from 1 species